rnacentral:rRNA from 1 species
CGCAUCUGUGCAUGCAGCAUAUCAAUAAGCGGAGGAAAAGAAACUAACAAGGAUUCCCCUAGUAACGGCGAGUGAAGCGGGAAGAGCUCAAAUUUGAAAUCUUAAAGGGUUUCCCUUUACGAAUUGUAGUUUAAAGAAGUGUUUUCUGUUGAGGUUUUGGUAAAAGUUCUUUGGAAUAGGACAUCAUAGAGGGUGAGAAUCCCGUAUUUGACCUUUACUUUCAACUUUGUGAUACACUUUCAAAGAGUCGGAUUGUUUGGGAAUGCAGUCCAAAAUGGGUGGUAAAUUUCAUCUAAAGCUAAAUAUUGGCGAGAGACCGAUAGCGAACAAGUACCGUGAGGGAAAGAUGAAAAGAACUUUGAAAAGAGAGUUAAACAGUACGUGAAAUUGUCAAAAGGGAAGCGUUUGACACCAGUGUUGUUUUUCUGAAAAUCAAUUAAAGAACUGUUUAUGCUAAGCUGUUUAGACUUUAUCAGCUAACUGUUUAGUUUUGAGCUUUUCUUUAACGCACUUUUCAGUUAACAAGUCAACAUCAAUUUCUUUUGCUGUAAAAAAGCUUGAGGAAGGUGGCAUGAGAUUCGUCUUAAGUGUUUAUAGCCUCUUGCCUAUGCAGUCGGAGAGAUUGAGGUCUGCAGCGUAGAUCCUUCGGGGCUAAAUGCAUUUGUGCUAAGUUAUAGCAUUUUAUAGACAACUUGUUGACUAUGAUUUGUCUUGUAGCUUACUCGCUUAUGUUAUUUUACCUACGCUUAGGAUGUUGAACGCGCACAGAGUCUC